GUGUAACAAAAAACUACAUUUUUAUUUGUCACACUCAUGCAGAUGUGAGACCCUAUUUAUGUUCUUUGUGUUUUCAAUGACUGCAGUUUAAAAUGGCACCAGAAAAUAUCUAUCUGUGUGAAAUGAAGACUACAUUCAAAUUACAGGGUCGAUUGAGGAGUACUGGGAAGGACAAACUACUGACUCCUUGCCUGACGCAACACAGCAUCAGACCCCUCCAAGGGGACGACACCCCAGAAGCAGCCAGACAAUGCUGGAUGGAGCAAUGGGUCCCAACUGUGAAACAUCACCCAACACAACUCAGGCAAGCUCAAGUUGGUGCCAGCCACAAGAGCAAAGCAACACCGCAAACAUCAGACUUCUGGUGAUGUUCUAGCAGAACAGAGAGCUAACAACCACCUGCUGCCCUCCUGCCACCAUCACAAGGUACCACGGAUAGCCUACUGGCUAACAACACCUACAAAUAACCAUCUGACUCAGACCAACUCACUUUAGGAUGACAGGUGACACUGCCUCAACACCUGCUGCACAAGCUUGAGGGCCCACACCUUGCUACAGCUUACAUCACCACAGCUCACCACUUGACAGCAUCCACCACGGCACCACAACCACUCCUGGAGGCAACCAGCAGCCCGAGAGCCACCACUGUCUCCCAGCCAUGAGCGGCAGGAGGUUCAAUUUGAAUCACUCUGUGACAUAUUCUGAUGUAACUGAUGAUGCCCUUGAUGACAUGAUCAAAGAUAUUGAGGCUGGGAAUGAUCAGCUUGGAUCUGAGGCUGUCAGGGCACAGUUACGGCCAGCUGGAGUACGGGUGCAGAGAGACAGAGUGAGAAAGAGUUUAAUUCGAACCAACCCCUGGGCAGCUGCACAAAGAAGACCACAGAGAUGCAGAAUUGUCAUUCAUGGUGGUAUAGAUGGCUACAGUCGUCUCAAAGUCUUGCUCCAUGCCUCAAACAACAUCUGCAGCAGCACUGUAAUGAAUUGCUUUUUGAAUGCUGUGGCCAGGUAUGGAGCCUUCUAAGGUCAGAACAGAUCAUGGAGGAGAAAACUGAUGUCUGUGUGAUGAUGAACAUUUUCAGGGGCUCAGAGAGAGGCAGUGCUAUCAGAGGCAGGAGCACUCAUAACUAGCGUA
ensembl:lncRNA